AAGCUAUGUUGAGGACAAUUCCUGAGUAGCUCACGAAAUCUUUCCCAGGCAUAAUGAAUGGUUUCAUCUCCAAGUUGGGCAAAGUGGGAAAUCUCUGCAAUGAUCUU